rnacentral:rRNA from 1 species
GAUGAACGCUGGCGGCGUGCCUAAUACAUGCAAGUCGAGCGAACGGACGAGAAGCUUGCUUCUCUGAUGUUAGCGGCGGACGGGUGAGUAACACGUGGAUAACCUACCUAUAAGACUGGGAUAACUUCGGGAAACCGGAGCUAAUACCGGAUAAUAUUUUGAACCGCAUGGUUCAAAAGUGAAAGACGGUCUUGCUGUCACUUAUAGAUGGAUCCGCGCUGCAUUAGCUAGUUGGUAAGGUAACGGCUUACCAAGGCAACGAUGCAUAGCCGACCUGAGAGGGUGAUCGGCCACACUGGAACUGAGACACGGUCCAGACUCCUACGGGAGGCAGCAGUAGGGAAUCCUCCGCAAUGGGCGAAAGCCUGACGGAGCAACGCCGCGUGAGUGAUGAAGGUCUUCGGAUCGUAAAACUCUGUUAUUAGGGAAGAACAUAUGUGUAAGUAACUGUGCACAUCUUGACGGUACCUAAUCAGAAAGCCACGGCUAACUACGU